CCUGGCGGCGAGUGGCGAACGGGUGAGUAAUAUAUCGGAACGUACCCAAGAGUGGGGGAUAACGUAGCGAAAGUUACGCUAAUACCGCAUACGAUCUAAGGAUGAAAGCAGGGGAUCUUCGGACCUUGUGCUCCUGGAGCGGCCGAUAUCUGAUUAGCUAGUUGGUGAGGUAAAGGCUCACCAAGGCCACGAUCAGUAGCUGGUCUGAGAGGACGACCAGCCACACUGGAACUGAGACACGGUCCAGACUCCUACGGGAGGCAGCAGUGGGGAAUUUUGGACAAUGGGCGAAAGCCUGAUCCAGCAAUGCCGCGUGAGUGAAGAAGGCCUUCGGGUUGUAAAGCUCUUUUGUCAGGGAAGAAACGGUGAGGGCUAAUAUCCCUCGCUAAUGACGGUACCUGAAGAAUAAGCACCGGCUAACUACGUGCCAGCAGCCGCGGUAAUACGUAGGGUGCAAGCGUUAAUCGGAAUUACUGGGCGUAAAGCGUGCGCAGGCGGUUUUGUAAGUCUGACGUGAAAUCCCCGGGCUCAACCUGGGAAUUGCGUUGGAGACUGCAAGGCUAGAAUCUGGCAGAGGGGGGUAGAAUUCCACGUGUAGCAGUGAAAUGCGUAGAGAUGUGGAGGAACACCGAUGGCGAAGGCAGCCCCCUGGGUCAAGAUUGACGCUCAUGCACGAAAGCGUGGGGAGCAAACAGGAUUAGAUACCCUGGUAGUCCACGCCCUAAACGAUGUCUACUAGUUGUCGGGUUUUAAUUAACUUGGUAACGCAGCUAACGCGUGAAGUAGACCGCCUGGGGAGUACGGUCGCAAGAUUAAAACUCAAAGGAAUUGACGGGGACCCGCACAAGCGGUGGAUGAUGUGGAUUAAUUCGAUGCAACGCGAAAAACCUUACCUACCCUUGACAUGUACGGAA
rnacentral:rRNA from 1 species